AUGCUUACUCCAGUUGCACAUAUACUAAAAUUGGAAUAAUACAGAGAAGAUUAGCAUGGCCCUUGUGCAAGGAUGACACGCAAAUUCGUGGAGUGUUCUAUAUAUUU